UGUGUGAGAAAACCACCACCUUUAGAAUGGAGGAUGUGUCGUGGAAAAAGUUGCUACUGCCAACUGCCUGGCUGCCCGUUCGUGGGCCUUUAAUUAUUCCAAAUCAGGAAGGCACUGAGACGUUUGAAACAAGCAUUACACGUAUUUAAACCUCCGCAAUGCUGCUAGCAUUGCGAGAAGCCAUGCGACAAACCAAAGAAUACUCAAGAAUCUUAGAAAAAGUAGCAAAGAACCAUAUGGAACGGGAAACCAGCUGCAGUUCAAGUGAUGGAAAGUUCCCGCUUAGUGUCUGCUAUAAAGAAGCAUAAAAGUCAGAAUGACAUCAAUUGCAACAUUUUCAUGAUUAUCACACACGUAUUAUCAUCCUGGAAACCAAUGCUCCCCUAUAUCUAGUGAAGGAAUUGGACAAAUUUUUCCAGAAGAUGCCAUUAGGCAAGAUGAGAUCAGCAAAUCAUUUGUAGAGAGCAAGAAUCUCAAUGGAUCAAUGCUUUGAGCUUGCAGAAGCUUCUAAUUGUAUAUUGAUUUUUCAUGCCAUGCUAAUCAUUUUUAUUGGUAAAACACAAUAUUUCUAUAAACAAUCUGAGGACUGUUCAGAGAUUAUUACACCCUAUGGGGAGAAUUCUGUUCAUGUGCCUAACUUGCAACUCGAGUGAUAAGAAUCAAUUCAGUUUUGCAUCUCUAUUUUCAUGUAGCGUGUUAUUAUUUACAUACCUUUCAUUUUAUUUAUUCUUACCCAUUUAAAAAUUUGUAUCUUAUUUUUUAAAAAUCUUUUGUAAGGGCUCUUGCAUCCAGUCAGCAAAUCAUAUAACAUCUAACCUGCUAACUUCAUCAUUUUGUCUUCAAUUAUUCAUUCUGUAACACAGUCUCUAAACCUACAUUACAAAUUAAUCAAAAAUAAUGUUUCAGCUUAUAAAAUGAGUAAGGGUGAUAUAUGCAGGUAAUAAUCCUUUUAAUUUUUCAAUAUUCCCAUUCUUUUUAAUAAUUGUAGUGUCUCUGGCUGUCAUUAAUUGUUAAAAGAACAAACUGUGACUUCAAUCUCUUCUUCCCAAUAAACUGAUAGUGGAGGCCAUUGUCAAUCUUACCAACCCAGUGGUGGGAUUCAAAUAAUUUAACAACUGGUUCUCUGCUCUAAUGACUGGCUGGGUAGGUGUGGCUGGGUGGUCAUGGCUAACUUGACAUCACUCAUGUUGAAGAGCGCCUCGCCCUGCCUCUCCUUGCCAAUCUCAGCCCCGUCUCACCCCUCCCCUCCUAGCCACUCCUUGUUAUGCCCGGCUUUGCCUUGCCUGGCCUCUCCUCAUUGUGACCACAAUUGAGCCCAAAAUUUAUGUUGCUAAGUGAGAAAUUUAUUAAGUGAGUUUUGCCCCAUUUCACAACUUUUCUUGCCACAUUUGUUAAGUGAAUCACUGCAGUUGUUAACUUAGUAACACAUUUGUUAAGUGAAUCUGGCCUCCCCGCUGACUUUGCUUGUCAGAAGGUUGCAAAAGGGGAUCACAUGACCCUGGGAGACCACAACCAUCAUAAGUGUGAGACAGUUCAACCAUCUGAAUUUUGAUCACAUGACCGUGGGGAUGCUGCAAUGGUCAUAAGUGUGAAAAACGGUCAUGUCACCUUUUUCAGUGCCUUUGUAACUUUGAGUGGUCACUAAGUGAACUGUUGUAAAUCAAGGAUUACCUAUACAAAAAUACAAAUAAAGCAUUAUGUUGUAGAUGCCAUUGAAGACUUUGAUGGAUAGUAGCAGACGUAUGUGUGUGUUUAACCUUUAAUUCAGAUUUUUUUAAUCAUUAAUCCUGAUCAGUUGGUGUAUACGCCUGAAAAAAUAUAUAUCUGUAUUUUAGUCCCUCAAAUGUAGAAUAUUUUUAUGCCCUUCAAGUGUCUGUGAAACUUUAAGGCUAAAAGGCACAGUUCUUUAAGCUUAAUCCUUUACCCAGAAAAAAGCUUAAUUUAAAUGAAGGAAUAACAGAGAAAAUUGCUAGAGUAAUUUUUUUUUUCACUAUUGUAAAAAUGGCAACUUACUUGCCUAAGAGUCACAAGAAACCAGGUAAUCUCCUAUGAGUCAAGCUAAUAGGACACUCAGGGCACAACAAUAAUUGUUCUCUAGAAACUCAAGCAGCACUCCGGAGCUAAGUAGUGGAGGAAUAGAAGUUAAGACAGGUAGAAAAUGUCUUUUAUUACUAACACAAGACACUCUUAGUAGAAAGAUAAUCAGCUAUUGCAGAACCUAUCAAUCCAUGUUGGAGUUCAAAUCUUGCCUCUCUUUCUUCCAUUUUUACAUAAUAAUGAAAUUAUUGUUUUUUUUCCUUUAAUCUUGAUAUGGAGGGGAGCUGCAUCCUGUUUUGAUCAUGAUCUGGUCUGGUCUCCGAUUCUUAGUUUCCGGCCUUGCAGUUUCAAUUCUCCCUUCUUCAUGGACAUAUCUGUGAAACUUUCAUUACCGUCUUCCAGAGAACAAACUUUUUUUUCAACUUCCCCAUUUAGCUUACAAUAAUUGUGACUGUCAUUGAUCUUCAGUGUGUAUUCCCCCAUUUCUAGUAUAACGAUUGGCAUUUAGGGCAGAUUUUUGCAAGCAAAGAAGCUUUUUGACAGAUUAUUAGGUAGAAAUUUAUUUUAAAAAUAUUAAAAAGCCUUCUGAAGUUAGAAAAUAAUAAAUAGUGUUCACUAAUUUGUACUAAUUCAUAUUAAACUUACUGAGAUGAUUGAUAUGAAGAAAUUAGUACUACUAUCUAACUUUUGGAAAGUUACAGUCUAUGAUUUCAUUCUGACUUAUUUGUCAGAAUCAGAGGUCCUUUGGAAAAUGAUGCUAUGGUCUGCAGUAGGGGGCAGCAAAGGAACAUCACUACAUAAGUGAAAGGAUACUGAUAAUAUAUUAAAUAAAAAUUAUAGGUAUCUCUCUUGAUGCAAAGUAAAUGGCAUAAUAUUCUUCUGUUUCAUUCCCAAAUGAAAUUAUUCAAGCAAUUGUUAUAUAAUGUUAUCUGUUAAAUAUUUCACUUCAUUUCUGUCUUUUUGUUAUCUAUGUACAGUAUAUGUGUGUGUAUACAAAUACAUAAUAAACAAAGAAAAAGUGAAUAUUGAAAGCUAGGUAAUUUGUGCAUGCUAGAAAAGGUUUGCAUUCUAGUUUAAAACAGAACGUACCAUUUAUUUAAUUAAAUUAUGGUAUGUUUUGACUUUGAAAAUUCUACAUUUGUACAAUUAUUAUUUUCUAAGGAUCAACUAUCAUGUUUCUCUGUCUCUGGUACUUUGGAUUCUUUUAUUCCAAGCGCACACUAACUGGAGAGUAUGUUAUAAUGCUGUUAUAAUGGCUCGUAUGGUUAGGACGCUGGGUUGGAGGUUAGCAAGCUCGUAUUUGAGACUUGUGUGCUGCCAUAGGAUGGGGUGACUUUACCUUUGCUCCAGCUCCUGCUGGCUACAUGAAAAGAGCCCCCAACUGGGCAUGCGCCAGGCAACAGUGAUGUCACUGGCCAAUCAUUUCAAUCCGGAAGCCCAUCGGGGCUUCUGACAUGUGUAUGAUGUGAGUGCAUAUAAGAGCCAAAUAUAUUGCUAAGUAAGAUACAAUUGGUGUUGAGGGACUAUGGAGCUUUAGAAGCAACAUAAUCUAAUGCCAUAUUUAGACCUGCCUUCCAUGUCUUUCCACUCUAAAACCGAGAGCAGUUCAGCAUCCAUAUUUAUGUAGAACCCAACUUCUAUUUUCCUUUCUUUUUAAGACUUCAUUAACCUGGGCAAAUAGCUCUGCAAAAUGCAGUAAAAAAUCUUAUUUUAAGAUCUCACCAGAUACUACAGUUGUCAUAAGAGAGUCAUGUUUGACUUGAAUAACUCUGUAUUUUUCUAUCAAAACUUAGGAUCAAAUGUAGGAGGAAAAAUUCAUUUUUGAUGUGAAAUCAAGUUUUUGUCAGGGGAGAGCAGAAACAAGUAUCCAAUGAACUAGAGUAUGAAUUAUAUCCUGUGCUGUUUUUAUUAUUGAAAAAGCAGGAAAUAAAUUCGAUAAAGCAUGAAAACAAA